GUACGUUGACCUUCGUUUUGAAAUUAAGUUUUGCAGUUUUCGUCGUUAUCUGACCCAUAGUUCAAAUAUAUUUUAAGAUAUAUAAGUCAUGAUACGCGACUUUAAACAGCAUUCAGACAUUAAAUUAUAUUAAAUUUUGAAGUAACAACACAAGUAAACUUAUUAUCAAAAAGGAAAGAAAUAACCAAUACCUGGAAACUUGGACAACUGUAUUGCUGAUUAUAUUAAUGAGAAGCUUGCGAGGAUUGAAUAUUUAAAAAAAGUUGCUUCAAAUUUGUAAAUCAACGAUUUUAAACGUUAAUACGAAAUAAUAAAUAAAUCAUUAACGAACA